GCCCAGUGAGCACAGAAAAGAGAAUUUUCUGGGCCCAGCCAAACUAUCAAGUAUGAGGGUAGAAUAAGACAAUUUCAAACAAUCACAAUCUCAAAAAAAUUACUUCUCAUUUUCCUUUGUCUCAGGAAGCUACCGAAAGGGGUACUCUAUCAAAAUGAGGGAGUAAACCAAGAGGAAGGCGUGAGAUGCUGGAACCAGGAACUCCAACUGGUGUUAUGAAGGAAUAGAGGACGUUUCAUGGAUGUCAGUUCAUCAUUUCCACCAGAGUGUGAGCUCUUCUGUGGCAUCACAGUGGACGGCAAGAAACCUGGAGCUGUGCUGUGAAUGUUCCUUGAAGCAACACUCCAGGCCUGGAAAGGCAGUGCUCAUGUACCUGACCUCAAACAACCACUG